UGCCGCCGCGCCGCCGGCCCGCGCUCGCCAUUGGCUGCCUCCCCGCCUUCCCGCCCGGCCGCCGCUCGGGGCCCGGCCGCCGCCGCCGCCCUCGCCCCGUCAGCUGGCGGUGGUGUCCCGGCCGCAGGGAGCGGCGCUGGGAGCGGGGUGGGAGCAGCUCUGCACCCCUUGUUUCGGCCAGCCUGCGCCGCCGCCGUUGCUGCGGGGAGCUACGUACUGGAGUACCGAGGCCCUCAGGCGGCGCAACUGGAAAGGGCUGCCGGGCGCGGCCGCCCGCAGAUGCGCUGGGAGGGCGGUACUAGCCGCUGGCACUACAAACAGCAGAGGAAGGCGUAGAAAUUACGAAACUAAGUCUUCCAGUCAUGAUUCCACUGCUCUCUGUUGUGUGCUCAUCUGCUGCGUCUCUGCCCACCAAGGCAGAGCACACUCGAGAGUCAGUUGGAUGGAGCCAGGCUCUUCUCAGUGGUGUCCAGUGAACAGGGCAAAGGGCAGCGAACACAAACCGGGACACAGGAGGUUCCACGGAUACAGAAGGAACAAAAUUCUAUCCUUUGAGGGCAGCAGAGUACUGGAACAGGAUGCUUAGAGAAGCUGUGGAGUCUCCAUCUCCCGAGCGUCCAUCUCUGGAAGCCGUUCCAAACCCACCUGGCCGUGUUCCUGUGUGGUUUAUUCCGGUGAUCCUGCUCUAGCAGGGGGCUCGGACUAAAGCAUCUUCAGAGGUCCCUUUCAACCUCUGCUAUUCCACGAUUUUUAAGCCAAAAUGUGCACACAUUCCAGAGCAAGGAGAAAGAUGCCUGGGUGCCAAGAUGCCCGACACUGGAAUUUCCAGGCACUGGAGUGCACACCUGCACAUAGCAGCACCUGCCACCCUUUGCUUCCACUUGUGCAGGGCAUAUGGCUAGAAAAUGAGAAACCCUUUGGAAGGACAUGUACAUACAAGGAGGAAGCAAGAACACAGAAUUGAGAACAAUGCCAGGUCUGGAAGUGAGCAAGUCUUGUUCGUCACCAGCAUUACUGCUGCCCACAAGCUUAAGUGAGGGCUUUGCAGCAGCUCUUGCAAAACAGAAGGCACUGAAGAUGCUGCCCUACUUUACAAGGAGGUUAGUCAUAUGUGACCAGGCAUCCAACAGCAUCCACAGAGACAUCAGAGCACAAUAAUGAUGAAACACUUCAAGCUUAACAGACCAAUAUGCAGUGACUUCUCUUUCCCCUGAACUGGACAACACUUUCUCUAUUUUUAAUCAUCUAAGGAGGGGACGAAAAGGGAAGGUGGCCCAGUGGCAGACUACACAGGGAUUACAGGGAUUUCUACUUUUUUUGCUCCUCUGGAACUCGUUUUGUUGUGACCAAGCAGCAGGUCACUUAAACCCACAGCAGAAAUCUCACCUCUGCCUUGAAAUCAUAGCAAAGACUAUGUCUAAAUUUC